rnacentral:lncRNA from 1 species
GAUAAGUACUAUUAUAGAUAAGUGAAAUGUGACAAAAAUAUGAGUAAACACAAAUCAACAUGAAAUUGUUCAUAAACUCAUAUAUGAUGAGUCCCAACCAAACCAGAUAAAAAAAUUAAAAGGCAAAUCUAAAGCAUAUAGUCAUUUGCAAUUGCAUGUAUCAGUAUAUAGUCAUUUACAUAUAUCAUUACAAAGCCAAUAGUCAUGGCAUGUAUCGACAAACAAGGUGCAGAAGAUUCAGGUGACCAAAGUAGAAAAUUAAAAUAUGUGAUAGGAUCAAGAGAAAUUGAAUGAAACAUUUUAUAAAAAUCGUUACUGCUAAAAGGUAUAAAUGAAGUAGUGCAAACAACAUCCAUUAUCUACAAACAAAAGAAAGAACAAAGAUAAUCAUUGUGAGAGUGUGAGUUGUCUGGAAGAAGAAGAUAAUUGAACCAUACUUUCAACAUUGUGAACACGAAUUGGAAAACGGAAUUGAGGUGGACGACGACACAAACUGGAACAGAGGCAACCACUCUUGGCGAUGGAUGAGAACAUGAAGUGCUAUAGAGGCAACGGGAACAAACACAACCAGAGAUGACGACGAUGUUGGGUUGUGACAGCGCGAUGGAGAGAAAGUGCAGAACAAUCAUGAAAGUGAAAGAGGGUUCUUGUUUUGGUGACAAGAAAAAGAGGUUUUCACAAACUCAAGUACUGUAAUAUUAAAGCUUUUCAAUGAGUGAAAGCAUAUCGUGCAUCUCGAACUUAGAGAGAAAUUUGGAGAUUUGAUGCGUGAGGAUUUCUGAAUGUGGGACAGGGGUUUGGGGGAGAAAGGUGAGAAAAAAGUGUUAGAACAUAACUUAAG